UCGAGCGAGUCUGCCUUGAAGAUCGGAGUGCUUGCACUCUGUGAAACAAGAUACAGGCUAGCGGCGGACGGGUGAGUAACACGUGGGUAACCUGCCCAAGAGAUCGGGAUAACACCUGGAAACAGAUGCUAAUACCGGAUAACAACAGAUGAUGCCUAUCAACUGUUUAAAAGAUGGUUCUGCUAUCACUCUUGGAUGGACCUGCGGUGCAUUAGCUAGUUGGUAGGGUAACGGCCUACCAAGGCGAUGAUGCAUAGCCGAGUUGAGAGACUGAUCGGCCACAUUGGGACUGAGACACGGCCCAAACUCCUACGGGAGGCAGCAGUAGGGAAUCUUCCACAAUGGACGCAAGUCUGAUGGAGCAACGCCGCGUGAGUGAAGAAGGGCUUCGGCUCGUAAAGCUCUGUUGUUGGUGAAGAAGGACAGGGGUAGUAACUGACCUUUGUUUGACGGUAAUCAAUUAGAAAGUCACGGCUAACUACGUGCCAGCAGCCGCGGUAAUACGUAGGUGGCAAGCGUUGUCCGGAUUUAUUGGGCGUAAAGCGAGUGCAGGCGGCUCGAUAAGUCUGAUGUGAAAGCCUUCGGCUCAACCGGAGAAUUGCAUCAGAAACUGUCGAGCUUGAGUACAGAAGAGGAGAGUGGAACUCCAUGUGUAGCGGUGAAAUGCGUAGAUAUAUGGAAGAACACCGGUGGCGAAGGCGGCUCUCUGGUCUGUUACUGACGCUGAGGCUCGAAAGCAUGGGUAGCGAACAGGAUUAGAUACCCUGGUAGUCCAUGCCGUAAACGAUGAGUGCUAAGUGUUGGGAGGUUUCCGCCUCUCAGUGCUGCA
rnacentral:rRNA from 1 species